AACGAACGCUGGCGGCAGGCCUAACACAUGCAAGUCGAACGCCCCGCAGGGGGAGGUGGCAGACGGGUGAGUAACACGUGGGAACCUUCCCUAUAGUACGGAAUAGCCCAGGGAAACUUGGAGUAAUACCGUAUACGCCCGCAAGGGGAAAGAAUUUCGCUAUAGGAUGGGCCCGCGUAGGAUUAGCUAGUCGGUGAGGUAACGGCUCACCAAGGCGACGAUCCUUAGCUGGUUUGAGAGAACGACCAGCCGCACUGGGACUGAGACACGGCCCAGACUCCUACGGGAGGCAGCAGUGGGGAAUAUUGGACAAUGGGCGCAAGCCUGAUCCAGCCAUGCCGCGUGAGUGAUGAAGGCC
rnacentral:rRNA from 1 species